rnacentral:rRNA from 1 species
AUACGGAGGGUGCAAGCGUUAAUCGGAAUUACUGGGCGUAAAGCGUACGUAGGCGGUUCGUUAAGUUAGAUGUGAAAGCCCGGGGCUUAACCUGGGAACUGCAUUUAAAACUGGCGAACUAGAGUUGAGUAGAGGGGAGUGGAAUUUCAGGUGUAGCGGUGAAAUGCGUAGAGAUCUGAAGGAACACCAGUGGCGAAGGCGACUCCCUGGACUCGAACUGACGCUGAGGUACGAAAGCGUGGGUAGCAAACGGGAUUAGAAACCCUAGUAGUCC